rnacentral:tRNA from 1 species
GACGAGGUAUCUGAGUGGUUAAGAAGUUGGACUGCUAAUCCAUUGGGCUCUACCCGCGUGGGUUCGAAUCCCAUCCUUGUCG